rnacentral:hammerhead_ribozyme from 1 species
UUCUAACUGACGAGUCCCAAAUAGGACGAAACGCGCGCCAAUUGGAU